GGGGAAUUUUGGACAAUGGGCGCAAGCCUGAUCCAGCCAUGCCGCGUGUCUGAAGAAGGCCUUCGGGUUGUAAGGGACUUUUGUCAGGGAAGAAAAGGGCGGGGUUAAUACCCCUGUCUGAUGACGGUACCUGAAGAAUAAGCACCGGCUAACUACGUGCCAGCAGCCGCGGUAAUACGUAGGGUGCGAGCGUUAAUCGGAAUUACUGGGCGUAAAGCGGGCGCAGACGGUUACUUAAGCAGGAUGUGAAAUCCCCGGGCUCAACCUGGGAACUGCGUUCUGAACUGGGUGACUAGAGUGUGUCAGAGGGAGGUAGAAUUCCACGUGUAGCAGUGAAAUGCGUAGAGAUGUGGAGGAAUACCGAUGGCGAAGGCAGCCUCCUGGGAUAACACUGACGUUCAUGCCCGAAAGCGUGGGUAGCAAACAGGAUUAGAUACCCUGGUAGUCCACGCCCUAAACGAUGUCGAUUAGCUGUUGGGCAGCAUGACUGCUUAGUAGCGAAGCUAACGCGUGAAAUCGACCGCCUGGGGAGUACGGUCGCAAGAUUA
rnacentral:rRNA from 1 species